rnacentral:rRNA from 1 species
UGGGGAAUUUUGGACAAUGGGCACAAGCCUGAUCCAGCCAUGCCGCGUGCGGGAAGAAGGCCUUCGGGUUGUAAACCGCUUUUGUCAGGGAAGAAAUCUUCUGAGUUAAUACCUCGGGAGGAUGACGGUACCUGAAGAAUAAGCACCGGCUAACUACGUGCCAGCAGCCGCGGUAAUACGUAGGGUGCAAGCGUUAAUCGGAAUUACUGGGCGUAAAGCGUGCGCAGGCGGUUUUGUAAGACAGAGGUGAAAUCCCCGGGCUCAACCUGGGAACUGCCCUUGUGACUGCAAGGCUUGAGUGCGGCAGAGGGGGAUGGAAUUCCGCGUGUAGCAGUGAAAUGCGUAGAUAUGCGGAGGAACACCGAUGGCGAAGGCAAUCCCCUGGGCCUGCACUGACGCUCAUGCACGAAAGCGUGGGGAGCAAACAGGAUUAGAUACCCUGGUAGUCCACGCCCUAAACGAUGUCAACUGGUUGUUGGGAAGGUUCCUUCUCAGUAACGUAGCUAACGCGUGAAGUUGACCGCCUGGGGAGUACGGCCGCAAGGUUGAAACUUAAAUGAAUUGACGGGGUCAUAGCUGUUUCCUG